GCAGAAAAUAGCAUCAAGGGAAUGAGAAAGCAAGUCACAGACUGGGAGAAAAUAUUUGCAAAAGACGUAUCUGAAAGAGAACUGUUAUCCAAAAUAUAUAAAUAACUGGUAAAACUCAAACAGUAACAACUUGAUUAAAAAAAAUGGGCAAAAGAUCUGAACAGACGCCUGACCAAAAAAGAUACGCAGAUGGCAAGUAUACGAGAAAAUGUUCAAUAUCAUAUGUCAUUAGGUAAUUGCACAGCAAAACGACGGCAUACUACUAAGUACUUAUUAGGAUGGCCAAAAUUUGACUAUACUCAACUUUCAUAGAAAUUAUGGCUUUAUUUUCUCAAUCAUGGUUCAUAUGCCUUCAUAUUUAAUUAAAUUGUGAAAUAAUAAGUUUAACAGGCACAAAGAGGUUUGGAAACAAACACAACUGCAGCUUGGUACAGCUAUAUAUAAACAGCAGAGAACUCAGACCGCAUCACUUAACCUCUUGACUCAGAUUCUUUAACAGAAGAGGAGAAAGAGAGUCUGGUGAAGAAUAAAAGGAAUAAUACUGUGCCUUGAAAAAUCACUAGCCUGAACAAAUUGAAAAUCUCCUAAAUCCCCUUCAGCUCCAUCAUCAAAUGGUCAUUUGCUCCAGGCAAGAAGACUCAUAGGUAAUGUUUCCUGUCCUUCAUGGAAAAUUAACUCAAAACAGAUCCACACUAAAUGGAAGAGCCACUCUGUGGAAAGAUGAUAUGUGACUAUUGGUCACAGAACCAUUGGUGGUUCAAUGGUUCUGAGGGUAGCACAAAGACAUGUUAUUCCUGAGUUCUGCUGAUGUCUAAAGAUGUUGCCAAUACGCUAAAUGGAAACCAGCCAGAUCAAAUCGUUAUGAACAAAAUAUCACAGAGAGAAAAUUAACUUUUAAAAAAUUUAAUACAAAUAAAUGGUAAUUCCCAAUUUUCUUACCCUUAGGAGCACUUCCAUCUUGAUACUUUAAAAUUUUCAGGUCACUUAGGCUUUGCAUUUUUUUAAACAGAUUUCUUUCUAUUAUGUCUUGAUGCAGUUAUUUGUCACCCAUAGAACCUAGGAAGUCCACGAUCUUCAGAAGCAGAAACAAUCCUAGGCUAGGAAUAAAAUAAUUUCUAAAGAUUCUAC
rnacentral:lncRNA from 1 species